rnacentral:rRNA from 1 species
CCCUUGAGAGUGGCGAACGGGUGAGUAAUAUAUCGGAACGUGCCCAGUCGUGGGGGAUAACGUAGCGAAAGUUACGCUAAUACCGCAUACGAUCUAAGGAUGAAAGCGGGGGAUCGCAAGACCUCGCGCGAUUGGAGCGGCCGAUAUCAGAUUAGGUAGUUGGUGGGGUAAAAGCCCACCAAGGCGACGAUCUGUAGCUGGUCUGAGAGGACGACCAGCCACACUGGAACUGAGACACGGUCCAGACUCC